rnacentral:rRNA from 1 species
UACGGAGGAUCCGAGCGUUAUCCGGAUUCACUGGGUUUAAAGGGUGCGUAGGCGGGUAGGUAAGUCAGUGGUGAAAUCUUCGAGCUUAACUCGGAAACUGCCUUUGAUACUAUCUAUCUUGAAUAUUGUGGAGGUAAGCGGAAUAUGUCAUGUAGCGGUGAAAUGCUUAGAUAUGACAUAGAACACCUAUUGCGAAGGCAGCUUACUACGCAUAUAUUGACGCUGAGGCACGAAAGCGUGGGGAUCAAACAGG